rnacentral:rRNA from 1 species
GGCUUAAACUCAAAGGACUUGACGGGGACCCGCACAAGCGGUGGAUGAUGUGGUUUAAUUCGAUGCAACGCGAAAAACCUUACCUACCCUUGACAUGCCAGGAACUUGCCAGAGAUGGCUCGGUGCUCGAAAGAGAACCUGGACACAGGUGCUGCAUGGCUGUCGUCAGCUCGUGUCGUGAGAUGUUGGGUUAAGUCCCGCAACGAGCGCAACCCUUGUCAUUAGUUGCUACGCAAGAGCACUCUAAUGAGACCGCCGGUGACAAACCGGAGGAAGGUGGGGAUGACGUCAAGUCCUCAUGGCCCUUAUGGGUAGGGCUACACACGUCAUACAAUGGGCGGUACAGAGGGUCGCCAACCCGCGAGGGGGAGCCAAUCCCUUAAAACCGCUCGUAGUCCGGAUUGUAGUCUGCAACUCGACUGCAUGAAGUCGGAAUCGCUAGUAAUCGCGGAUCAGCUUGCCGCGGUGAAUACGUUCCCGGGUCUUGUACACACCGCCCGUCACACCAUGGAAGUGGGGUUUACCAGAAGUAGUUAGCUUAACCGCAAGGGGGGCGAUUACCACGGUAGGCUUCAUGACUGGGGUGAAGUCGUAACAAGGUAGCCGUAUCGGAAGGUGCGGCUGGAUCACCUCCU